AAAAGACAGACACACACGACGUCGUCUGAGGUACCACUUCCACUCCUUUCCCCCUGUUUGGUUUCCGAGGAAAUUUCCGCUCCCAAUUUUCUAAGUAAAAGUUCCUCAAUAUGGUUCUCAAUCGGAUCUCCUUCUCAUAUUUUCACUGCUGAAAAGUAUUUGGAUUUGUCUUAAAAUGAGCUUCAUCAUUGAAUAGGUGUUAGCAAUCGAGAACCCAGCCUGAGACGACUAGAAGAUGUGGUUCUCUCUAUUCUUUUACUGCAAUGCACACCAACUGUAUGAUAAAAGGCCAUAUAGAUGUCGAAGAACUUCCAGGUUACACCCUCCUCUAUGUGGUUCCAAUGUUUUUAUCUUUUCAUUCAUGAUGCAAAGAUUCGCGCUCUCUGUAACUGAUUUUUUGCUAUUAGUACGGAAACUGAAAUUGCAUUCUUUAUGCGCUCGAACAA